rnacentral:rRNA from 1 species
GACGAACGCUGGCGGCGUGCCUAAUACAUGCAAGUCGACCUUAGUGGCGAACGGGUGAGUAACACGUGGGUAACCUACCCAUCAAAAGGGGAUAACCCUUGGAAACAGGUGCUAAUACCGUAUAAUGCAGGAUGGACCCGCUGUGCAUGAGCUAGUUGGUGAGGUAACGGCUCACCAAGGCCACGAUGCAUAGCUGACCUGAGAGGAUGAUCGGCCACAUUGGUACUGAGACACGGCCCAGACUCCUACGGGAGGCAGCCGUAGGGAAUCUUCGGCAAUGGGCGAAAGUCUGACCGAGCAACGCCGCGUGAGUGAAGAAGGUUUUCGGAUCGUAAAACUCUGUUGUUAGAGAAGCGGUAUCUAACCAGAAAGCGACGGCUAACUACGUGCCAGCAGCCGCGGUAAUUC